rnacentral:sRNA from 1 species
AAGCACAUCAUCUCUU